rnacentral:miRNA from 1 species
UUCCACCCUUCCCUCUUUGAAGC